GAGCUUCCCAUGGCGCCUGUUUAUCAAAAACAUGGUUUUUUGAAAAUAAUUAAAAAUCUGACCUGCUCAAUGCCAAGGUAAAUAGCCGCAGUAAUUUGACUGUGCUAAGGUAGCAUAAUCACUUGUCUUUUAAAUGGGGGCUGGUAUGAAAGGUUGGUCGAAGGAAUAGCUGUCUCUUUGUUAAUUUAUGAAUUUAAUUAGUUGGUAAAAAGGCCUAAUAUGGACCUGUGGGACGAUAAGACCCUAUUGAGCUUUAUUAAAUAAUUUUACUGGGGUGGUAAUAUAAGAAUAUGAUCUUAUUUUUAUAUAGAAGUUUUGAGGACCCAAUAUUAUUGAGGGCAAGAGUAAGCUACCAUAGGGAUAACAGCUUAAUUUUUUUAAAAAGUUCUAAUUUAUAAAAAAGAUUGAGACCUCGAUGUUGAAUUAAAGUGUCUUUUUAGUGCAGAGGCUAAGAAAGAAAGUCUGUUCGACUUUUAAAUCUUUACGUGAUCUGAGUUCAGACCGGCCAUGGGAGCUC
rnacentral:rRNA from 1 species